AAAAGGAGAAGUCCUGUAUGAUUAGCAAGACUAAGUUCAAGAAGUUUUCGGCUGAAGCAAGUGUGAAUAUUGAAAAAGAGUUUUCACGAGAUUCAUAAGUAAACUUGAGUCAAGCCAAUCUGGCAUAUGACUGACGGAGGAGUUUGAUGAGUUUUUCAUGACCUUCAUCAAGUUGGAACUCACGAUAGAGGGACUGAAUCGU
rnacentral:lncRNA from 1 species